rnacentral:tRNA from 1 species
GCCCAGGUAGCUCAGUCGGUAGAGCAGAGGAAAUCCUCGUGUCGACGGUUCGAUUCCGCCCCUGGGCACCA